UACAGAGGGUGCAAACGUUGCUCGGAAUCAUUGGGCGUAAAGCGCACGUAGGCGGUCCAGCAAGCGGGGAGUGAAAGCCCUCGGCUUAACCGAGGAAGUGCUUUCCGAACUACUGGACUUGAGUACUGAAGAGGGUCGCGGAAUUCCCGGUGUAGAGGUGAAAUUCGUAGAUAUCGGGAGGAACACCAGUGGCGAAGGCGGCGACCUGGGCAGAUACUGACGCCGAGGUGCGAAAGCGUGGGGAGCAAACAGG
rnacentral:rRNA from 1 species